CAAAGUGUAUUGUAGACAGGUACACGUUGAAAAUCCAACAGGAAGUUUUAUUUAAAUAAUCUUAUUGCCGCUUUUUAGAAGUAUAUACUCUAUUAAGUUUUAAUAUUUAUUUUUUAUUGUGUCGAAAUUUAUUUCAUGUGUACGAGGAUAUGUGACAUCAAAUAUCAAAAAACUGCGAUUUAGAUCAGCCAUGAGUUAUAUGACGAAGAGCAUAAUAGCAUUGAUCCCUGUUCUGACAUUUGCAUUAUUAGUAUUUAGCAUAAUUGCAUUGUUUGUGUACAAGAGUAGAUUUUGCUGCAAAUCUAAAGAUGCAGAAAUUGCGAAUCAACAAAGAACAAAGAUUUCAACAAUUUAUUCGGGUAAUAUCUGUUGCAGUCAUCUUUCUAUUUCUAAAUGAAAUUUGCUUGAAAUUAAAAGAAAAUACUGGUUCUGUGCAAAUCAGACACCCAAUUAGUACUGAAACGCAAAACAAAUAAACACAAUUAUGUUAAAGAUUAUGCACAUUUUAAUGUUGUUUUUAUUUGUCGUACAUGUAUAACACACAUGAAUGGUAUCAUGAUUGAUCAAAUACAAGACUAACCAGAUUUGUUUCUCUCUUCUGGCUGGCGAUGCAAUAUUUCUUUUUAGUAAUUGGAUAGUAUAAAAGGUAUUUGAAAAUAAGUCAUAGAAAGAUUUUUUUGCUUGUUUUA